CCUACGGGAGGCAGCAGUGGGGAAUUUUGCGCAAUGGGGGAAACCCUGAUGCAGCAACGCCGCGUGCGGGAUGAAGGCCCUCGGUAUGUAAACCUCUAUCAGCAGGGAAGAAAAUGACGGUACCUGCAUAAGAAGCUCCGGCUAACUACGUGCCAGCAGCCGCGGUAAUACGUAGGGGGCGAGCGUUAUCCGGAUUUACUGGGCGUAAAGGGAGCGUAGGCGGCUGGGCAAGGCGGAUGUGAAAGGCCGGGGCUUAACCCCCGGACGGGAUUGGAAACUGGUUGGCUAGAGUGCGGGAGAGGUGAGCGGAAUUCCGGGUGUAGCGGUGGAAUGCGGAGAUAUUGGGAGGAACACCGAUGGCGAAGGCGGCUUUCUGGGCGGGAACUGACGCUGAGGCGCGAAAGCGGGGGGAGCGAACAGGAUUAGAUACCCUUGUAGUC
rnacentral:rRNA from 1 species